AGGGGGGUGGGGAGGGGGGGGAGAAAUGCAGGUGUCGAAGGCUGUCUUGAGUGGAAAGCACACUGCGGAAUGUACUCCAAGAAGGUCAAAGGAUGUUACAGAACUCCCGAGAUGAAGCUGAAGGUUGGAGAGAAUGGAAGAUUGACAUGGAGAUGAUGGCUUAGAUAUGGACUAAAACUGCCUCUUCUUAGCUGGAAGACCCUGCAACAUUUGCUUGCCAGAAAGCACAAGAUGAGCUGGAAAGGGGAGCAUGGCCAAACACAGUGAGCAGCGGGAGGGUGUGUUUAGAAAUCUCCAUUUGGUUUUGUAUUGAGUGAGCCCUUCCUACAGACAGGUGCUUUCUUCCCCAACCUAUGACAGUUUGACAGGAUUUUUUUUUUCUUCAGCUUUAAGUUGAUGGAAAAGAAUACUGUGUUGGUUUGAAUGGGAAUGUCCCCCAUAGACUCGAGUGUUUAAAUGCUUGGCACUAUCAGGAGGCAUGGCCUUGCAGGACUGGGUUUGACCUUGUUGGAGGAAGUGUAUCACUAUGAGUGGGCUUUGAGGUCUCUUAUAUGCUCAGGCUAUGCCCAAUGUGGAACAGUCUCCUUCUACUGCCUGUGGAGCAAGAUGUGGGACAGUCAGCACCUUCCCCAGCCUGCGUGCUGCCAUGCUUGCCGACCUGACAAUAAUGAACUCAGCCUUUGAAACUGUAAGCCAGCCCCAUUGUUUCCCUUUGUAAGAGUUGUCUUGGUCAUGAUGUCUCUUCACAGCAACAAAACCGUAACUGAGACCAUAUGACCAUUUUGAUUUUCACUUCUAAUACAAUAUUCAGUAAUGCUGGA
rnacentral:lncRNA from 1 species